AACGAACGCUGGCGGCAUGCCUAACACAUGCAAGUCGAACGAGACCUUCGGGUCUAGUGGCGCAUGGGUGCGUAACGCGUGGGAACCUGCCCUUAGGUUCGGAAUAACUCUCCGAAAGGGGUGCUAAUACCGGAUAAUGUCUUCGGACCAAAGAUUUAUCGCCUUUGGAUGGGCCCGAGUUGGAUUAGCUAGUUGGUAGGGUAAAAGCCUACCAAGGCGUCGAUCCAUAGCUGGUCUGAGAGGAAGAUCAGCCACACUGGGACUGAGACACGGCCCAGACUCCUACGGGAGGCAGCAGUGGAGGAUAUUGGACAAUGGGCUGAAGCAUGAUCCAGCAAGGCCGCGUGAGUGAUGAAGGCCGUAGGGUAGUAAAGCUCUUUUACCCGGGAUGAUAAUGACAGUACCGGGAGAAUAAGCACCGGCUAACUCCGUG
rnacentral:rRNA from 1 species